rnacentral:rRNA from 1 species
UACGUAGGCAGCGAGCGUUGUUCGGAAUUACUGGGCGUAAAGAGUGUGUAGGCGGUGCUCUAAGUUCGGUGUGAAAUCCCCGGGCUCAACCUGGGAAUGGCGAUGAAGACUGCAAGGCUAGAAUCUGGCAGAGGGGGGUAGAAUUCCACGUGUAGCAGUGAAAUGCGUAGAGAUGUGGAGGAACACCGAUGGCGAAGGCAGCCCCCUGGGUCGAGAUUGACGCUCAUGAGCGAAAGCGUGGGGAGCAAACAGG